GUGAAUCAUCGAAUUUUUGAACGCAAAUUGCACUCCCUGGUAUUCCGGAGAGUAUGCCUGUUUGAGGGUCAGUUUAAAUAAAAAUCGGUGUGGUUGCUGCCUUUCGUGGUGACGCUCCGGAUUUGGGUAGUCGUGCCGUCGGUUAAGCAAUCUAAUAUGUUGCCUGCUUUUUUUCGAACGUAUUUAAAUGAUUUUACGUGCGUUGGUGAUAGCGAAUACUA
rnacentral:misc_RNA from 1 species